UCGGGAAUUUUGGGCAAUGGGGGAAACCCUGACCCAGCAACGCCGCGUGAAGGAUGAAGUAUUUCGGUAUGUAAACUUCGAAAGAAUAGGAAGAAUAAAUGACGGUACUAUUUAUAAGGUCCGGCUAACUACGUGCCAGCAGCCGCGGUAAUACGUAGGGACCAAGCGUUGUUCGGAUUUACUGGGCGUAAAGGGCGCGUAGGCGGCAAUUCAAGUCAUCUGUGAAAUCUCAGGGCUUAACUCGGAACGGUCAGAUGAUACUGCUUUGCUAGAGUGCAGAAGGGGCAAUCGGAAUUCUUGGUGUAGCGGUGAAAUGCGUAGAUAUCAAGAGGAACACCUGAGGUGAAGACGGGUUGCUGGGCUGACACUGACGCUGAGGCGCGAAAGCCAGGGGAGCAAACGGGAUUAGAUACCCCUGUAGUCCCUGAGCGGGCUGGCAAGGCGCAU
rnacentral:rRNA from 1 species